GAUGAACGCUGGCGGCGUGCCUAAUACAUGCAAGUCGAGCGAACAGACGAGGAGCUUGCUCCUUUGACGUUAGCGGCGGACGGGUGAGUAACACGUGGGUAACCUACCUAUAAGACUGGGAUAACUUCGGGAAACCGGAGCUAAUACCGGAUAAUAUUUCGAACCGCAUGGUUCGAUAGUGAAAGAUGGCUUUGCUAUCACUUAUAGAUGGACCUGCGCCGUAUUAGCUAGUUGGUAAGGUAACGGCUUACCAAGGCAACGAUACGUAGCCGACCUGCGAGGAUGAGCGGCCACACUGGAACGGAGACACGGUACAGAGUCCUACGGGAGGCAGCAGUAGGGCAUCGUGCGCCAGGAGCGAAAGCUAGAGGGAGAAACGCCGAGUGAGUGAUGAAGGUCUUCGGAUCGUAAAACUCUGUUAUUAGGGAAGAACAGUCGUGUAAGUAACUGUGCACGUCUUGACGGUACCUACUCAGAAAGCGACGGCUAACUACGUG
rnacentral:rRNA from 1 species